AGUGAACGCUGGCGGUAGGCCUAACACAUGCAAGUCGAACGGCAGCACAGUAAGAGCUUGCUCUUACGGGUGGCGAGUGGCGGACGGGUGAGGAAUACAUCGGAAUCUACUUUUUCGUGGGGGAUAACGUAGGGAAACUUACGCUAAUACCGCAUACGACCUACGGGUGAAAGCAGGGGAUCUUCGGACCUUGCGCGAUUGAAUGAGCCGAUGUCGGAUUAGCUAGUUGGCGGGGUAAAGGCCCACCAAGGCGACGAUCCGUAGCUGGUCUGAGAGGAUGAUCAGCCACACUGGAACUGAGACACGGUCCAGACUCCUACGGGAGGCAGCAGUGGGGAAUAUUGGGCAAUGGGCGCAAGCCUGAUCCAGCCAUACCGCGUGAGUGAAGAAGGCCUUCGGGUUGUAAAGCCCUUUUGUUGGGAAAGAAAAGCAGUAGAUUAAUACCCCGCUGUUUUGACGGUACCCAAAGAAUAAGCACCGGCUAACUUCGUG
rnacentral:rRNA from 1 species